rnacentral:misc_RNA from 1 species
CUGCGAGUUCGCGGGAGAGUAGGUUAUUGCCAGGGUUUUUAUUUUUAUACUUUAAACUUUGAUUUUAUUUUUAUGUUUUUUAAAUAUUGGUGUUUUUGAAUGUGUUGUUUAAAUAACAUAAAAAAUAAAAUAUAUAUUGACAUGUAUUAAACAAAGAUAUAUAUUAUUUUAUGUUGUAUAAAUAAAUUGGCAAAAUAGAGAUGGAAGAUAAAAAUAUGGUCAAAGUAAUAAGAGUCUAUGGUGAAUGCCUAGGAGCUUA